GAAUGAGAUUUCACGUGAGAGAAUCUCCUGGACUCAAACAAGAGGCGACGUUAGGAACAUCUGGCAGGGUGUCUCAAAGCCAAGGAAAAAUGGAUACAUGUCUCUAGGCAUUACAGAUGGGAUUUUCAGGCCCAACCUGUGACCAGCCCUUUGUGUCCCUGCUGCUUUACUACAUUCAACCCAAGGAAGCACUGUGGUGAGAGGAAAAGAGCAGCGAAGUCCUGCCUAGAGAGGCCUGACUGGAGCAGCCAUUUUGGAAACUAGAGAGACAUGAUCCUCCCAGGUCUAGAAGGGGUUAGCAACAGCCAAUCAGCACCUUGCAGGCUCAGAUAAAAGGAGUGGCGUCACCACGUCAGUUGGUAGUUGAGAGCUGAGGAGUGAACAAGGGGGCUUUGCUCUGGCCGGCCUCAUCUUGAAUUUCUACCACGCCCAAAUCUCCCAUUGACUUCAAGGAACCGGAUAAGCUUAUUGUGGGAGCUGGGUCAGAGCCACUCUGGCAGUUUCGCUACAAGAAGCGCCAGCGUUCAUCAGCACUGGAAUGCGCGUGGCGCUCAGAUAACUAACACGGUGUGUUAUAUCAGGAUUUACGGGGAAAGAGAGCGUUCCAAAAACCCAGCCCUUGAUGGUGCGGAGUUACCUUUUCCCAUCUGCUCAGCUGUGCCCUAGGAGAAUCGAGGACAUAACUCUCAGCUACCCUCAGGUGGCAGAAUCCCAGAAUGUUGCACCCAGCUCUGAAGAGUCAGAUGGUUUCUUCUCUCUGGAUUGACUCUCAGCUGCCUUGAUGGGUUCAUAACGGUUCUGAGCUGGCAGUGAUGGGAUGUUUUCCUCCAGAAAAUGAGGACAACUGAGGCAGACAAGCGGUGGGCCUUGUAGAAAGCUGCACAGCGAGUAAAUGGCAAAGUAGGCAGAACCCAGGAGUUCUGGUGGACCACCUCUGCUCUCAUUUCUCCAAUCAACAAACUGAGACUUUCUGCUGCUGCUUCUGCUGGGGGUCAACGUGGAGACCCUGGUCGGCGUUGCAUCAGACAGUGAAGAUGAACUGGGCCUGCCUUUUUUCUCCUCAGUGCCACUACAAAUGAUUGAAGAGAUGUGGAGGAGGAUGUUGGUGAGAAGUUUAAGAGGAGGCUUGGCCUGGAACUGACUGAGCCAGUUGCGUGUCACGUGCGUAAGAAAGGCAGGGGGCCUGUGGCAGUCUCCUAGCGUGACAUCCAGCUGGCUGAAAAUAGAUGCCACCGGGCAGUUCACCAGGCCCACCUUGUUCUCCCUGGCGAGGUCCACUCUGUCUUCUUUUACAGUCUUGUGACAAAGGUGCUAAGCCAUGGAGCUGAUCUCGUUUCAUGGAGCGGUGGCAUUCCUAUUUGCGCAUGUCACACAGAAACCAGCCCGACCUGUGUUCUGUGCCCCAUGGAGCCACACAGGUGACGACCCUACCCCCAUUUCCAUUUGUGCUGGAGAACCUUUCCUCGGGAAGACACCGAGCGAAUAGCUUCCUUGCCCAGCACGAACGGCUCUGCAGGGGCUUAAUCUUGCAAUGUGCAAAGCACGCCGGUGAGAUGUCGCCCUUCCUUAGACUCUUCCCACAUUUAGCGUCCAUCUACACAGCAACGUUAUUCUGAACUAACUGAGUCCGCGUCUACGCACAAGCCGUUAUUUCGACAGAAUGCUGAAAUAGUGUCGAGCUGGAGGACUGCUCAUGCCGACUCCUGGAACCCUCAUUGCACGAGGAGUAAGGGAAGUCGGAGGAUGAGGACUCUAUUUCGAAAUAAGUGCUGUGUCUACGCUCUCACUUUUGAAAUAAGUGACGCGAGUAGCGUAGCUCAAGUUGCGUCGCUUAUUUCAAGUUAAGCCCUGCUGUGUAGACGUACCCUUAGUGGAAGCUGAUGGUGCAACACUUUGGAGCACCAAGACACACUGAGACCAGAACAACACAGGACUUUUUUCACUCUGGUAUUGACAUUUGGAGAUACAGGAAUGUAUUUCCUCUUGCCAUCUGAAGGUUAAGGCAAUUCCAGAGCUGACUGGCGCGUAUUUGCUUUGAUAAAGAGUUAAGCAGGCAGCAGGGCGUAUGUUCAUAGUGCUGGUGGCAGCGAUGCUUACAAGGAGGCACCUUUCUUUGUUCCUUUAAUGAUUCACUACUUGGGAGUGUGGGAAUCAACUUAUAUAAAGUUUUGCUAGUACGUAGAUACACCAAGAGCCUGAAAUAGUGGAUUGGUGAGAACCUGAGACAGAAACUCUACGCGUUGUCCUGGUGGCCCAGAAAAAACAAAACUGGAAAGGGCUACAGAGGGCACCCCUCCUAGAUACGAGGAAGUAGUCAUUUGUCAUUUUUUAAUUUAUUGCUUUUUGCGUCUUAUUAAAAAGGCUGCCGGCAGAAGCAUGCAGUA